rnacentral:rRNA from 1 species
UACGUAGGGCGCAAGCGUUGUCCGGAAUUAUUGGGCGUAAAGAGCUCGUAGGCGGUCUGUCGCGUCGGAUGUGAAAGCCCGGGGCUUAACCCCGGGUCUGCAUUCGAUACGGGCAGACUAGAGUGUGGUAGGGGAGAUCGGAAUUCCUGGUGUAGCGGUGAAAUGCGCAGAUAUCAGGAGGAACACCUGUGGUGUAGACGGCUUCUCGUGAC